rnacentral:rRNA from 1 species
GGGCCCGCACAAGCGGUGGAGUAUGUGGUUUAAUUCGAUGCAACGCGAAGAACCUUACCAGGGCUUAAAUGUAGUCUGACAGGGGUGGAAACACCCCCUCCUUCGGGCAGAUUACAAGGUGCUGCAUGGUUGUCGUCAGCUCGUGCCGUGAGGUGUCAGGUUAAGUCCUAUAACGAGCGCAACCCCUGCCGUUAGUUGCCAGCAUGUAAUGAUGGGAACUCUAACGGGACUGCCGGUGCAAACCGCGAGGAAGGUGGGGAUGACGUCAAAUCAUCACGGCCCUUACGUCCUGGGCUACACACGUGCUACAAUGGCCGGUACAGAGGGCAGCCACACCGCAAGGUGGAGCGAAUCCUUAAAACCGGUCUCAGUUCGGAUCGGGGUCUGCAACUCGGCCCCGUGAAGCUGGAAUCGCUAGUAAUCGGAUAUC